UAGAGUUUGAUCAUGGCUCAGAUUGAACGCUGGCGGCAGGCCUAACACAUGCAAGUCGAGCGGUAACAUUUCUAGCUUGCUAGAAGAUGACGAGCGGCGGACGGGUGAGUAAUGCUUGGGAACAUGCCUUGAGGUGGGGGACAACCGUUGGAAACGACGGCUAAUACCGCAUAAUGUCUACGGACCAAAGGGGGCUUCGGCUCUCGCCUUUAGAUUGGCCCAAGUGGGAUUAGCUAGUUGGUGAGGUAAUGGCUCACCAAGGCGACGAUCCCUAGCUGGUUUGAGAGGAUGAUCAGCCACACUGGAACUGAGACACGGUCCAGACUCCUACGGGAGGCAGCAGUGGGGAAUAUUGCACAAUGGGCGCAAGCCUGAUGCAGCCAUGCCGCGUGUGUGAAGAAGGCCUUCGGGUUGUAAAGCACUUUCAGUAAGGAGGAAAGGUUAGUAGUUAGUACCUGCUAGCUGUGACGUUACUUACAGAAGAAGCACCGGCUAACUCCGUGCCAGCAGCCGCGGUAAUACGGAGGGUGCGAGCGUUAAUCGGAAUUACUGGGCGUAAAGCGUACGCAGGCGGUUUGUUAAGCGAGAUGUGAAAGCCCCGGGCUUAACCUGGGAACUGCAUUUCGAACUGGCAAACUAGAGUGUGAUAGAGGGUGGUAGAAUUUCAGGUGUAGCGGUGAAAUGCGUAGAGAUCUGAAGGAAUACCGAUGGC
rnacentral:rRNA from 1 species